rnacentral:misc_RNA from 1 species
GAACGCACCUUGCGCCCUUUGGCUAUUCUGAAGGGCAUGCCUGUUUGAGUAUCAUGAACACCUCAACUCUCGUGGCCCGCCACGAUGAGCUUGGACUUUGGGGGUCUUGCCGGCCUAGCGUCGGCUCCUCUCAAAUGGAUCAGCUUGCCAGUGUUUGGUGGCGUCACAGGUGUGAUAACUAUCUACGCUUGUGGUUUUCUACCAUGUAACCUUCAGUGAUGGAGGUUCGCUGGGGCUCACAGAUGUCUCUCCUUGGGGAGGACAGCUUUUUGAACGUUUGAUCUCAAAUCAGGUAGGACUACCCGCUGAACUUAAG